GUAACACGUAUGCAACCUACCCUUUACUGGGGCAUAGCUCAGAGAAAUCUGAAUUAAUUCCCCAUAAUACAAUUGAAUGGCAUCAUUUGAUUAUUAAAGCUGAGGCGGUAAAGGAUGGGCAUGCGUUGCAUUAGCUAGUUGGUGAGGUAAUGGCUCACCAAGGCUACGAUGCAUAGGGGUUCUGAGAGGAUGAUCCCCCACACUGGUACUGAGACACGGACCAGACUCCUACGGGAGGCAGCAGUAGGGAAUAUUGGUCAAUGGACGCAAGUCUGAACCAGCCAUGCCGCGUGCAGGAAGACGGCCCUCUGGGUUGUAAACUGCUUUUAUAUGGGAAGAAACCUCAUUAUGCGUAAUGAACUGGCGGUACCAUAUGAAUAAGGAUCGGCUAACUUCGUGCCAGCAGCUGCGGUAAGACGAAGGAUCCAAGCGUUGUCCGGAUUUACUGGGUUUAAAGGGUGCGUAGGCGGAAUUUUAAGUCAGUGGUGAAAGCCCUUCGCUCAACGAAGGAACUGCCAUUGAAACUGAAAUUCUUGAAUACGGUUGAGGUAGAUGGCAUAUAACAUGUAGCGGUGAAAUGCUUAGAUAUGUUAUAGAACACCGAUUGCGAAGGCAGUCUACUAAGCCGUGAUUGACGCUGAGGCA
rnacentral:rRNA from 1 species